rnacentral:rRNA from 1 species
UACGGAGGGUGCAAGCGUUGUCCGGAAUCACUGGGCGUAAAGGGCGCGUAGGCGGCUCAUGAAGGCUGUGGUGAAAGUCCGAGGCUCAACCUCGGAUCGGCCGUGGCGACUCGUGGGCUGGAGCACUGUAGAGGCGGGUGGAAUUCCGGGUGUAGCGGUGGAAUGCGUAGAGAUCCGGAAGAACACCAGUGGCGAAGGCGACCCGCUGGGCAGUGGCUGACGCUGAAGCGCGACAGCGUGGGGAGCAAACAGG